AUAAAAUUGAUUUACACCUCCUAUCAAGGUUGUUUUUCUCCCAGAUCAAGUGCCCUGCAGAUCAAGUGCCCUGCAGAUCUUGCUACAAUGCAGAAUCCGACCCAGUAGGUCUGAGCUCCAGAGAGAGCCAUCCUGAUGGAAACUACUGAACAUGGGGACACAAAAGAAAAGAGGGAGGAGAUGAAAGAAGAGGAAACAAAAGGAGGGUGUUAGAGGAAAAAGAGGGAAACCCACUGACAGAGAGGAAAGCUGAAGAGAUCCCACCACUGACUUGGACUAAGGAGAGAGAAGUCAAAGAGUAGUUACCUGGAUGAGGUGGCUGAAUAUGGGCGUGCUCUUGUCACUUUGGAUGUCACAACUAGCCUUGAGAAGAGCUGCUGUUCCAGGAGUCUGUCACAACUAGCCUUGAGAAGAGCUGCUGUUCCAGGAGUCUGUCACAACUAGCCUUGAGAAGAGCUGCUGUUCCAGGAGUCUGUAGCCAAGGACGUACAGCAGUGGAGGCUGACUCAUUGCAUAGCUGAGUGACCAAUUGCUUGGCAUGAGUUUACUUUAAUGGCUGUUUCUGAGUUUGAUCCCUCUCUGGAACCAACCCCUCUGAUGUGUCCUGUUCCAGCAGGAAGAGACAGACCUGGAGGUUCCGUACUUGUGAUUUCUGGUUGUGGAUCCUGAGAACAAGAAGUACUGGGAUCCUAAAGUUCUGACAUUUGCAAAGCAGAUUAAUG
rnacentral:lncRNA from 1 species